GUCCCAGGAAGGCCAGGGGGAGCAGAUUUCUUCAGCUGGCCAGCAUCUUACUGUUAAUUGCCCAAGCCAGAGAGCCCAAGAGGCAGGACAGAGGCCACCUGGCCUGCAAUGGGCUCUGCUGGACUAGAGCAGUGGCUCUGUGGAGACACAGAACUGAGCCUCACACUGCUUCCGGAGGAAUACUAGUGAGUGAGUCUCCAGGGGUACGGGUGAGAUGCAGCACCCACAUUUGAAAAUUGCACCCAAAGACUGUGCGCCCUACCAAGGUUGCAAGCCUUGUCUCUACAGCCUGCAGGUUUAACCACUGCCCCACACUGCACUGCUCUGGAUCCUCUCCAGGGCAGACCCCCUGUCAAGAUGAGCACCGGGAACAUCAC
rnacentral:lncRNA from 1 species